rnacentral:rRNA from 1 species
AGCGAACGCUGGCGGCAGGCCUAACACAUGCAAGUCGAACGAACCUUUCGGGGUUAGUGGCGGACGGGUGAGUAACACGUGGGAACGUGCCUUUAGGUUCGGAAUAACUCAGGGAAACUUGUGCUAAUACCGAAUGUGCCCUUCGGGGGAAAGAUUUAUCGCCUUUAGAGCGGCCCGCGUCUGAUUAGCUAGUUGGUUGAGGUAAUGGCUCACCAAGGCGACGAUCAGUAGCUGGUCUGAGAGGAUGAUCAGCCACAUGGGGACUGGGACACGGCCCAAACUCCUACGGGAGGCAGCAGUGGGGAAUCUUGCGCAGUGGGCGAAGGCCUGACGCAGCCAGGCCGGGUGAAUGAUGAAGGUCUUAGGAUUGUAAAAUUCUUUCACCGGUGAAGAUAAUGACGGUACCCGGUGAAGAAGCCCCGGCUAACUUCGUG